CUAUGACGAUGCUGGGCGAAGCGGUUGGA
rnacentral:piRNA from 1 species